rnacentral:rRNA from 1 species
GAUGAACGCUGGCGGCGUGCCUAAUACAUGCAAGUCGAGCGAACAGACGAGGCGCUUGCUCCUCUGACGUUAGCGGCGGACGGGUGAGUAACACGUGGAUAACCUACCUAUAAGACUGGGAUAACUUCGGGAAACCGGAGCUAAUACCGGAUAACAUGUUGAACCGCAUGGUUCAACAGUGAAAGACGGUCUUGCUGUCACUUAUAGAUGGAUCUGCGCCGCAUUAGCUAGUUGGUACGGUAACGGCUUACCACGGCAACGAUGCGUAGCCGACCUGAGAGGGUGAUCGGCCACACUGGAAGUGAGACGCGGUCCAGACUCCUACGGGAGGCAGCAGUAGGGAAUCGUCCGCAAUGGGGGAAAGCCUGACGGAGCAACGCCGCGUGAGUGAAGAAGGUCUUCGGAGCGUAAAACUCGGUUAUUAGGGAAGAACAAAUGUGUAAGUAACUAUGCACGUCUUGACGGUACCUAAUCAGAAAGCCACGGCUAACUACGUG